rnacentral:rRNA from 1 species
GGGUACUAGCGUGUAGCUUUGCCUGCUAUCUCUUACCCAUGUCUUUUGAGUACCUUACGUUUCCUCGGCGGGUCCGCCCGCCGAUUGGACAAUUUAAACCAUUUGCAGUUGCAAUCAGCGUCUGAAAAAACUUAAUAGUUACAACUUUCAACAACGGAUCUCUUGGUUCUGGCAUCGAUGAAGAACGCAGCGAAAUGCGAUAAGUAGUGUGAAUUGCAGAAUUCAGUGAAUCAUCGAAUCUUUGAACGCACAUUGCGCCCCUUGGUAUUCCAUGGGGCAUGCCUGUUCGAGCGUCAUUUGUACCUUCAAGCUCUGCUUGGUGUUGGGUGUUUGUCUCGCCUCUGCGUGUAGACUCGCCUCAAAACAAUUGGCAGCCGGCGUAUUGAUUUCGGAGCGCAGUACAUCUCGCGCUUUGCACUCAUAACGACGACGUCCAAAAGUACAUUUUUACACUCUUGACCUCGGAUCAGGUAGGGAUACCCGCUGAACUUAAGCAUAUCAAUAAGCGGAGGAA